CCCGAGCGUCUCCUAGGUGUAGGCAGCGCCCCCAGCGCGGUGGGCGCGUAUCGCGUAUCCGUGGUCGACGGCCUCCGGGCCCACUUCCCGGGAGAUGCGGCUGAAGACGGGAAAGAUGGCGCUACUUCUCUUCAACACGUCUAAGGAUCCCUGUUUGCAUCACAGUUUGUGGUAGCGAGAAGCUGGAGGAAACCAUGGCUGAGGAAAGAGUGGUCGCAAGCUCAUAAACUCUGCAGUCAGCAUGAGCCAUCAGGAUGGGCCCUGCUCCAGGAUGACACUCACUCUGCCUAACAUGGUGGUUUUCCAUCUCAGAUCCCCAAAUGUGGGGGGUCAGUACUCCAGCCUCUA